UACGUAGGGUGCAAGCGUUAAUCGGAAUUACUGGGCGUAAAGCGUGCGCAGGCGGUUCUAUAAGACAGAUGUGAAAUCCCCGGGCUCAACCCGGGAACUGCGUCCGAUACUGGAAGGCUUGAAUCCGGGAGAGGGAUGCGGAAUUCCAGGUGUAGCGGUGAAAUGCGUAGAUAUCUGGAGGAACACCGGUGGCGAAGGCGGCAUCCUGGACCGAUUACUGACGCUGAGGCGCGAAAGCUAGGGGAGCAAACGGG
rnacentral:rRNA from 1 species